CGGGCGGCGAGGCGGGCGCUGCCAGGGCGAGCCGGGGGGCGGCUCCCCGGACCGGCCCCCCGGGAAACGCGGCCCCGGCGAGCCCAGGCGAGCUGGAGGAGGCGGUGGUGGCGGCAGCCGGUGCCGGGGGCAUCGUGGUGCUGCCUUGUCCGAGGGACCGGCGCUGUGCCCCCCCUUGCAGCCCUGUUCCACCCCUUUGGAUCCAUUCUCUCUCCGUUGGAAGGCACCACUCCACCAGGACAGAGGAGCACACUUGUCCUUGUGGGUGCCUUUGGAACCACUCCACUCGUGGGUACAGAGGAAUCUGAGAUGAAAGAGAACUAGAUUCUGAUGAUCAUCUUGACAUUGUUGCUGUCACCUGCGUUGACAGCUGCAUUACAGGGAGAACAGAGCUGCCUGGAUGCUGUUCCUCCCCUCUGACCAGGUGCAGACACAGUUAGCUUUGGCAGCAUCAGCAGCAGCAUCAGGAAAUGAGCUUUGCAUCACAGCUGUUCCCACCAGCAACCCACC
rnacentral:lncRNA from 1 species